UGGUUAACUGGGAAUUUCUACCCCUUGGACAAUAUUUCAAGAUGUACCGAUCCAGCAGAUUUAGCAACAUUAGGAGGAAUUGAAACCAACCUUUGACCUAGGAUUUGCAAACACCUACUACCCGGAAAAGUACAGCACACCCGAAUGGAGAUACGAGACUCGCCUGGCUUUAGAGGCAAAAGCCAACUACUUCAUCUGAGUGCGGGUUACUAUAGACUGCCUUCUUUUCUCCGACUUUUUGUUGGUUUCAUUCUAUGCUCGGACUGAGCGCAUUUCUCCGUCACUACGUAGAGUAGACGGACAGUUUUAUGAAUACUAUAACAACACUAAUUUAUCACUUUUAAUUUGAAUCAUAUUUUUAA